GCCCGGUUAGCUCAAUCGGUAGAGCGUGAGACUCUUAUGAGUACUCCAAAUCUCAAGGUUGCGGGUUCGACCCCCGCAUCGGGCU
rnacentral:tRNA from 1 species